rnacentral:rRNA from 1 species
GAUGAGCGCUGGCGGCGUGCCUAAUACAUGCAAGUCGAGCGAACGGACGAGAAGCUUGCUUCUCUGAUGUUAGCGGCGGACGGGUGAGUAACACGUGGAUAACCUACCUAUAAGACUGGGAUAACUUCGGGAAACCGUAGCUAAUACCGGAUAAUAUUUUGAACCGCAUGGUUCAAAAGUGAAAGACGGUCUUGCUGUCACUUAUAGAUGGAUCCGCGCUGCAUUAGCUAGUUGGUAAGGUAACGGCUUACCAAGGCAACGAUGCAUAGCCGACCUGAGAGGUGGAUCGGCCACACUGGAACUGAGACACGGUCCAGACUCCUACGGGAGGCAGCAGUAGGGAAUCUUCCGCAAUGGGCGAAAGCCUGACGGAGCAACGCCGCGUGAGCGAUGAAGGUCUUCGGAUCGUAAAACUCUGUUAUUAGGGAAGAACAUAUGUGUAAGUAACUGUGCACAUCUUGACGGUACCUAAUCAGAAAGCCACGGCUAACUACGUG